AUGAGACACAUGAAGAGGCUCAAAAAAGUGAAGGGGAAUUGGAUUGGUCGUUCUCAGAACAAGGAGCCGGAAUUGACGCACAGAGCAGUAGUGUCCUUGUUGGAGUGGCUGUGGCAUGAAUUCCUUGAAGAUCUCUGGAGAAAACAGAAAGAAACUGAAACGAUUUUGGAGACCAGUGCCUGUCCAACACACUUUCUGGUACUGAGUGAGUCCCCUGGCUAUGGUGGGGAGGGACUUGUCAUUUCCUGCCAUAAGAACGCAGCAGGCUGUGGUAGAGAAAGUAAAAAUAGCACCACAUUGCCACAGACAAGUGAGCUCUACUCCAUUUUGGGAGGGGGGUGUGUGUUUGUGUGGUAG
rnacentral:lncRNA from 1 species